AGUGAACGCUGGCGGUAGGCCUAACACAUGCAAGUCGAACGGCAGCACAGUAAGAGCUUGCUCUUACGGGUGGCGAGUGGCGGACGGGUGAGGAAUACAUCGGAAUCUACUUUUUCGUGGGGGAUAACGUAGGGAAACUUACGCUAAUACCGCAUACGACCUACGGGUGAAAGCAGGGGAUCUUCGGACCUUGUGCGAUUGAAUGAGCCGAUGUCGGAUUAGCUAGUUGGCGGGGUAAAGGCCCACCAAGGCGAAGAUCCGUAGCUGAUGUGAGAGGAUGAUCAGCGACAAUGAGACUAAGACGCGGUACAGGCUCCUACAGGAGGCAGCAGUAGAGAAGAGUGAGCAAUGGGCGCAAGCCUGAACAAGCCAGACCGCGUAGGUAGAGAAGGAGUUCGGAUUGUAUAGAGCUUUUGUUGAGAGAGAAAAGAAGCAGGAUAAUACCGCGCAGUUCUGACAGUACCAGAAGAGGAAGCGCCGGCUAACUACGUG
rnacentral:rRNA from 1 species